rnacentral:tRNA from 1 species
GGAGAGGUGACCGAGCGGCCGAAGGUGCACGAUUGGAAAUCGUGUGUGGUGCAAGCCACCGGGGGUUCGAAUCCCCCCCUCUCCGCCA